rnacentral:rRNA from 1 species
UACGUAGGGGGCAAGCGUUAUCCGGAUUUACUGGGUGUAAAGGGAGCGUAGACGGAUUAGCAAGUCUGAUGUGAAAGGCAGGGGCUCAACCCCUGGACUGCAUUGGAAACUGCCAGUCUUGAGUGCCGGAAAGGUAAGCGGAAUUCCUAGUGUAGCGGUGAAAUGCGUAGAUAUUAGGAGGAACACCAGUGGCGAAGGCGGCUUACUGGACGGCAACUGACGUUGAGGCUCGAAAGCGUGGGGAGCAAACAGG